ACACAUAUGCCAGAAAACUUGGUUUUAAUCUUUAAGAAACAGCAGCAGCAGCAGCAGCAGCCCUAACAACAACAGUGGCAUCUACCUUGUCUGGAUGCCUGUCUUCGAAUCUUCAUUUUAGGAAAAGAAGGCCAUGAGUAGUUAAAAGAAUUCAUCAGUCAUAUCCAACCAUAUCCUCCAGGGUUUGCUGCUGUAAAGCUGUGCUGUUCACACAUUUUGGUACCCAAGCAAUUGGGGUGGUGAUCUGCCGGACACCAGAUGCUCAGGCUCUGUAAAAUGGAUAUUUCUUAUCAGUGUCUGCUGAAGAAAUUAUAACAAGCAGUUGCUGAUUUAUUGUCCUCAGGGAGAAAAAGAAACUAAAAGGGAAUGUAAAUCAAUUUCCUCCCCCAAAAAUGUGGCAUUGAGUAGGUUCUUAAUUUGUAUUCUCUUGCAAGCCAACAAGCUACAAAGCUGACUGAUAAAGACAGGGCUGGAGCGGCUGCACUGUUAGUACUGGGCAACUUGUAAGCAAGCUCAGGAGCUUUCACAGGAUAUCCUGGGGAAAAAAUGCACAUUAAAUAAAUAAAUGCACUAGAUUCAGAAAGAAGCCAUACAAAGCAAUUUUCAAAAUAAGUCAGAAUCAAAGACAUGACUCAGUGCCCACAGAAGGAAAUCCCAAAUAUCUAGUUCCCCAGGCACCAAAGAUGCUAUGUUAAAAAAUAUAUAUCUCUGAUAGAUGAUUCAUUCAAAUAAAAUAGAGAUUUGUUCUA